UGGGCCAGUGAUGGCGACCGGCAGUGGAUGAGUAAAGGGUGAUGAGCAUUAUGUAUCUGGGGAUCUUGGGUCCGA
ensembl:snoRNA